rnacentral:tRNA from 1 species
GGAGAGGUGGCUGAGUGGUCUAAGGCGCGCGCCUGGAAAGCGCGUGAGCUGUAAGGCUCCCAGGGUUCGAAUCCCUGCCUCUCCG